AAAACGGAGGAUGCUAACUGGGACCUGGACUGGGUAUGAGCCAAUGAUUCAAUACCCUUUGGGGGUUGGAGGGUCAGGCUGAAUUGUACCACAGAGUGGAGCUGGAGAGUAGAAACGGGUUGGAGCAGCCGUGCCUAGCGUUACGAGUCAGUGUGUGUUCAGACGCAACAGUGAGCAUUGCUGUAUGGAAGGGCUUACGUGAGGAGAGAAGGAACCAUUAAAAAGUGAAAUCCUUGCAUCGUGAGAUUCUGCAGCAAUACAGGAAAUCGACAUUAGGAUCUGUGGUUUCCUGCAAAUGGGGAAUCUAAGAGAACAUCAAAAAAAGGCCAUAUGUUUCAACUAUCAAUGGAAAUGUUACCCAAAGAUUUCUGUCUAUAAGUGUCAGGGACAAACAUAUGGGAUAAAACAGGAGGUCAGGGAACAGUAAUUCUAGAAGAUAGGAAAAGGGUGUAUGUAAAAUAUUUGCUCAGAACAUCGAUGAUAACUUGUCAGGAGUGGGGCUGGGUAAUGAGUUAAUGAAAAAAGAAUAAUGAAAAUCAUAGUUCAUAUCUAGUGAGGAAUGCUUCUGUUUCAGACACUGUGUGAAGGGCUCUAUUCAGUUUACUAAAUCUGGGUUUCUGAACCAAGACAGGGUGGAUUAAUAAGGAAAUCAGUUAUCAGUAGCUGUCUUUUGUUAUCACUACUGGCAAAUUUACUAUCUUUAUGAUGCAUUCCAGGUGACUAAUAUCAAUAGAUUGCCCUCUGGUUAUUAGAAAGAAUGAGGUCUAAAUACUGAAAAAGAAUAAACAACAUACAGAUAAAUAUUUUGAAAUGACCCAGAUUUGGAAAGUCCUAAUACAUUGCCAAACUUUCAACAUUUUCCUCGCCACAGAAUGACUCUUCUGAGAACAAAGUAAUUGCUGACUUCAAAGAGCUCUGAGGAAGUUCAGUGGAUGGAAAGAAUUUGGCCAGUAACUGGGAUCUGGUUUUCCCAUUGACAGCCUGCCAUAUAUUCUCAACGACAAGAAUUAGCCUGAAGUUAUUUGGGGCUGACAGUGGCUCCCUGACUUGUUUGGGUCUACAGGGAGAUGGCCACGACCAAACAAAACAACAAGCCAAAGGAAAAGCUACCAGGUCCUCCUGUAUUUGGACAGCCCAGAUGUUAUUUACAGCCUUGUUUAUGAAGUGUUUUCUUGACCCUGCUGGCUAGGAUCCACACACUUUGUCAUUUUAGAGCACACACGUCCUGUCACAUGGUGACAAUGUGCCCUGAACAAGUAAACAGGCUUGAAGACUAUUAUAAGGGUAGAAAAAAUCUUUUAACAUAAUAUUGUGCUCCGUGUUCCAUUUCCAGAAAUGACAAAGGAAAGCAUAGAGGAAGAGAAUUGAAAAUGGGUUUAUUUUUAGGUUUUUCAAAUAACUAUAACCAAUGCAGCCAUUUUGAAACUCCUACUAUGUGCAAAAUGCAAUGACUAAAGAAGUAGGAUAGAUCGUGAGCCCAGCUCUCAAGGCCCUCAAGCUCCCAUUCCAGUUAGAGGCAGAUGUUACUAAACAUAGUGAACCACAUAUAACCUGAAAGUGCAGUGGCUGUAACACUCCGGAGAGGUACAAAUAUUCAUUCUAGAGUUAUUUAUAAUACUGAGAAUGUAGGGAAUCACAUCCCCCGAGUUAAGAGAAGGAUGAACUAAAUUAAAGUCUGUCCCUACAGUGUUGGGCUGUGCUGCCCUGUUUACUUCCACCACUAUAAGAAGUCUUUCUGGCCAAACCUCCUCCCCAGCCUCUCAUCCCCCACAGCAGUGUACAUUUUGUUGUCUCAGCCAGUCUCCCACUUUUGAUCACUUCCCACACCUCUCCAUCAUGCCGUGGUCAGCAGAAUCCUCUGCACACCUUGUUCAGAAAUUAAGCUCUGAACGUUCUUGUUCUACUUGACACCUGAAUAUUCCCUGACAAUGGUGCGGUCCACUGGUCAAUCUUAGGGAGAGGCUGUUAUGUCCGCACGCCCCAGCUCUGACAGAACCUGGAGGUGGGCACGUAUCUUCCAUGCUCCUCCCUCAAAAUCUCCAGCUCUUUUCAUGCUCACAUGCCAUAAGGAACCAGCGGCUAUCUGUCCUUAUUGAGGUGAUUAACUGACAAUAUGGUCAUUUUUCCUCAGUCCCUAGGGAUUGUAGCACAUGACAUACUACACCUUUCCAUCUGGCACCAUCCUUGGG
rnacentral:lncRNA from 1 species